rnacentral:rRNA from 1 species
CAGUAGCCGCGGGAAUACGAGGGGAGCUAGCGUUAUCCGGAAUUACUGGGCGUAAAGCGCACGUAGGCGGCUUUGUAAGUUAGAGGUGAAAGCCCAGAGCUCAACUCUGGAAUUGCCUUUAAGACUGCAUCGCUUGAAUCCAGGAGAGGUGAGUGGAAUUCCGAGUGUAGAGGUGAAAUUCGUAGAUAUUCGGAAGAACACCAGUGGCGAAGGCGGCUCACUGGACUGGUAUUGACGCUGAGGUGCGAAAGCGUGGGGAGCAAACAGGAUUAGAUACCCGUGUAGUCCCUGUCUCUUAUAC